GCAAACUUGGUCAUUUAGAGGAAGUAAAAGUCGUAACAAGGUUUCCGUAGGUGAACCUGCGGAAGGAUCAUUAUCGAGUGUGACCCCCCUGUAAAAAAGGGGGUACCUCCCGUCCUUUUGCUAGGCCCUCCCCCUCCAAAAUUUUUUUGACAGGGGGAAGCUUUUUCAAACCUUCUGCUUCGGUGGGUUUUAAACCCCACCGGAACAACCUCAAAAAUUCUUUAUAAUUGUUCUGUCCGAGAAAAAUUUUAUAAAAUGAAAAAACUUUCAACAACGGAUCUCUUGGUUCUGGCAUCGAUGAAGAACGCAGC
rnacentral:misc_RNA from 1 species